rnacentral:rRNA from 1 species
CGCGGUAAUUCCAGCUCCAAUAGCGUAUAUUAAAGUUGUUGCAGUUAAAAAGCUCGUAGUUGAAUUUCGGGGUUAGUAGGUUGGUCAUGCCUCUGGUAUGUACUGAUCUCACUGAUUCCUCCCUCUUGACGAACUGUAAUGUCAUUAAUUUGGUGUUGCAGGAAAUCAGGACUGUUACUUUGAAAAAAUUAGAGUGUUUAAAGCAGGCUUAGGCUUGAAUACAUUAGCAUGGAAUAAUGAAAUAGGACGUUGACCCUAUUUUGUUGGUUUCUAGGAUUGACGUAAUGAUUAAUAGGGAUAGUUGGGGGCAUUAGUAUUCAAUUGUCAGAGGUGAAAUCCUUGGAUUUAUUGAAGACUAACUACUGCGAAAGCAUUUGCCAAGGAUGUUUUCAUUAAUCAAGAACGAAAGUUAGGGGAUCGAAGACGAUCAGAUACCGUCGUAGUCUUAACCAUAAACUAUGCCGACUAGGGAUCGGAUGAAGUUAAUUUUU